CUGGGCGUAAAGAGCUCGUAGGUGGUUUGUCGCGUUGUUCGUGAAAUCUCACGGCUUAACUGUGAGCGUGCGGGCGAUACGGGCAGACUUGAGUACUGCAGGGGAGACUGGAAUUCCUGGUGUAGCGGUGGAAUGCGCAGAUAUCAGGAGGAACACCGGUGGCGAAGGCGGGUCUCUGGGCAGUAACUGACGCUGAGGAGCGAAAGCGUGGGGAGCGAACAGGAUUAGAUACCCUGGUAGUCCACGCCGUAAACGGUGGGUACUAGGUGUGGGUUUCCUUCCUUGGGAUCCGUGCCGUAGCUAACGCAUUAAGUACCCCGCCUGGGGAGUACGGCCGCAAGGCUAAAACUCAAAGAAAUUGACGGGGGCCCGCACAAGCGGCGGAGCAUGUGGAUUAAUUCGAUGCAACGCGAAGAACCUUACCUGGGUUUGACAUGCACAGGACGCCGGCAGAGAUGUCGGUUCCCUUGUGGCCUGUGUGCAGGUGGUGCAUGGCUGUCGUCAGCUCGUGUCGUGAGAUGUUGGGUUAAGUCCCGCAACGAGCGCAACCCUUGUCUCAUGUUGCCAGCGGGUAAUGCCGGGGACUCGUGAGAGACUGCCGGGGUCAACUCGGAGGAAGGUGGGGAUGACGUCAAGUCAUCAUGCCCCUUAUGUCCAGGGCUUCACACAUGCUACAAUGGCCGGUACAAAGGGCUGCGAUGCCGCGAGGUUAAGCGAAUCCUUUUAAAGCCGGUCUCAGUUCGGAUCGGGGUCUGCAACUCGACCCCGUGAAGUCGGAGUCG
rnacentral:rRNA from 1 species